GCGGGCGUGGCGAAACUGGUAGACGCAAGGGACUUAAAAUCCCUCGGCCUUGGCUGUACGGGUUCGAGCCCCGUCGCCCGCACCA
rnacentral:tRNA from 6 species